rnacentral:rRNA from 1 species
CUAGCUUUCUGCCAGCGCUCGGGCGAAUCCCAGUUCUGGUAGGCGGUGAUCCAGCUUCUCCCCGUGCUCCGUAUUAGCACCUCCAUCUAUGUGGGCUCCGGGUCCUUGACCCUGUUUUGGUUCGACCGCUGGCUAGGGGACCCCCCCCUGGCCGCCCGCUUCCCGGGCCUAUUUGCCAUUGCGGUCGAUCCACGGAUCUCCAUCGAGACGGCCCUUAUUGACUUAGGGCGUCUCGCCUUCCGGCGCCCCUUUGGCCCCCUUGAGGUGGACGAGUGGGACUCCCUUCUCCAGGAUAUCGCUCUCCUGCCGACGGACGUUGAGGGCGCCCCGGACUCCAUCUCUUGGCGUCUGGAGCCUUCCGGCCGCUUCUCCACGAAAUCUCUUUACGCGACCAUUGCCCCUUCGUUGGCUCCUGAGCCCCUUAGCUUGAUAUGGGACAUUCGCCUUCCUCUCAAGAUCCGGAUAUUCCUAUCGCAAUGGAUCCGGGGACGCCUCCCCUCUGGGGUUGAAGUCCGCAAGCGCAAUGGCCCCAGCGACGGGAUGUGUCCCCUGUGCGACACGGUGGAGGACUCGAACCACAUCUUCUUCUCCUGCUCCACAGCCCAAUUCCUGUGGUCCUGCUUCCGAGAGACGGUCGGCGGACAGUGGUGCAAUACCAACUUCCCCGACUUACUCGCUGAGAUCCACACCUCCCCCCCUCGCUACCGCCAUAUUAGAUGGUUGUGCAUUGGGGUCCUCGCCUGGACGUUGUGGACCAUUCGCAAGAAACUUGUUAUUCAGAAAGUGCCUCUGCGACGUGCGACUGACGCGAUCUUUAAAAUGUGUGGAUAUUUGCAGCUCUGGCGGCCGCUUAGUCGCCCACAGGACCGGGACGUCAUCAACACCCUCCUCGCCGACCUUCGAUCGAUGGCCUUCCACUUGGCGCUUCUGCUUCUGCCUCCUCCGUCGGAGCCUGAUUAG